ACUUACUCUGUGGGACUUAAGUGUGGGUGUUCUUAUGAAUUCAGCUACAUUAAUUUUUACAAUACGUACCAAGUGAAUGACAUAUGGUUGUUCUAACCGAAUGUACUGACAGUGUCAGUGUAUUCUUGCAACUAUACUGACAAUAGAUGUAACAGGAAGUAUGGAUGUUCUAGUGAAUGCUCUAACAGUCUAUUUAUUCUGAUGACUAUGCUGACAAUGGGUGUAGCAGGAAGUAUGGAUAUUGUGAUCAAUGCUCAGUUAUUUAUCCUGCCUGUUAUAAGUUGCAGGAAAGUUUAGGUGUUCUAUUGAGUUAGCUGUCAAUGAUGAUGUCCCGGUUACCGGGAAUGAUACACCUGUUAGUGUGUGUGGAUGUACGAAAACGGUACUGAAUGCCUGGUGUGGAUGGAAUCUUUAAUUUAACUGCAUGUUUAAUUAGUUUCCAGGUUUUGUAUAUUAUCAUAGGAGUAUUCCUGAUCAUGAAGAAUUAAUUAGUUACAUGCUUUUUAUCACGUAGACAUUUUUCAUUUUUUUUUCAACUUUCCCCUGUGCUUUUUUUAUUGAUGAAUGUUUUAUUUGUUUUGUAGGAGUUUUGUUUUAGUGUUACAUGUACAUUAUUUGUAUUCGUUUAAAACUGUUAGGCCGGCCAUUUCAUACAGAUUGUUUAGUGGUGGAAUUCUGUCUGGAGUGCCCAGACAUAGAAUGACAUGGCUGAAGUGAGACAGCCAAAAUAUAUUUAGUGUCGAUGGAAAGACAGAUUUCACCCCGAUUACAUGCGUGUUUGUUGUUGAUUGGUAAACCAGAUGAUCCAAAUAAACAAAUGGUCUGAUUUCUGUUAAACAAUUUCAAUACGUUGAAAGGGAACAACAGUAUAGUUUGUACGUGAAUUGUUCGUUAUACUUCAUCACCAGUACUUUAAAGUCUACCUGUGUAUGUGCUAUGCUCUUACUUUUUCCUUCUAACUUUAUGUACUCAGUAUGUGAACAAAAGAAUACACGUUUAACAUA
rnacentral:sRNA from 1 species